AUGUCUGAUUGUCCUCUGUGGGAAAAGGAAACAAAGAAGAAGAAGUACAAAGAUGACGAUUCUGAUGACUCAAACAAGAAGAAGAAAUCUUCAAAGUCUUCAUCAUCAAAAUCUUCAAAGUCUUCAUCUCACAAGAAGAGCAGUUCCAAGAAGGCCUGGGCAUUCAUUGGCAAGGAAAUUGACUCUGAAGCAGAAUCUGAGGAUAAUGUGGAAGAGGAGGAAUCUGAGGAAUCUGACUCUGGUGUGGCAAGCCUAGCCCUCGCUACUGCUUACGUCAGCAAGUCCAUCUUCAACAUUGAAGAAAAUGACUUCCUCAACUCUCCUGACAAGAGCGUCGAUGACUAUGCUCCCACCUAUUGCUUCAUGGCAAAGGUGCCAAGGUACUCAAACAUUCCCCCUCUGACUCUAGUGAGGAUGAAUUUGGUGACAAUCUCAAUCCUAACUAUUCCAAACUUGCUAAAAUUGAUGUUAAACAACAGAAGGCUUUAG
rnacentral:rRNA from 1 species